AGACACUGCAAGAAUACUAUCGGCACGACGAAGCGAGACUCGAGAGCCGCGAGUUGCGAACACUGUGAGCACGAUCGUGGCCGGUACCGUGUCAUGUAGACUCGCCCAAAGGUGUGCUCUUGCCAUAUAUGGGCAUAAAACGAAAGCGGCUCGCUGAUUGGUCCGUUGGCCGGCUGCCGGCUAGAUUCUCCAAAUGCCGCUUCAAACUGUACGAUACGGGGAGCAUAAUGCCUUCUGGAAGCGUAUACUAGCGUAAGGGCUUUCCUGACUAACCGUCAGAGCUGUUUGUAGUAGUAAACAUAUCAAUGUAUGCGAAGAUUAUCACGUUCUUUGUGUAUGUGUGUACCGGCAGUAGGUAUGAGUCAGAAAAAGUUUUGUUAUAUGUAUACUUUGGAAUGGUCAACAUUUUCUUUUACUUAAUGCAAAUCGAAACAUUUAUCAUUGAGAUUUAAUACUUUCUUACAUUUGCAAUCAUUAAUGGAAAUCAUAUUUAAAUAAAGUUUAUUAAAAUAUAAAA